GUUGCGGAAAUGAGUACUUGAUGAUGAUAGGUCAUUGGUCCCACCAAAGCACAUUGUUUGACCAAUAUUGGUCUUCAACAUAUAGCAUUGUAACUUCUUUCUUCACCCAGGACCAGCUCUAUCCAAAAUCUCAAGCACACCAAGCCCUAUUGCUGCUUUCAAUACCAUGGCCAACACUGAUGCAGUUGCUGAUUGCAUAGCAUACUGGAAAAGACUGUCCUCUUCAUUGGUGGAUGCACCUAUCUGGCUUUCCUUGGAGCUCGUGAUGUGGUUUUGGUGUUAAAUAGAAGACUUCAGAAAAUUGAUAAACCAGGUUGAGUAUGCUUGGUGGCUGUAGGAUCUUGUUUUAUAAAACCAGACCACUGUAACUUUGUUAAUUGAUAUGAGACUGAACCUUGGCGUCCAAAAAAUCACAGCUCUGACAUCUUCAGCUGCCUUUGGGCGGCUUGACUUAAUUGAUAUGAGACUAAAC